UGGCAAAAUUAUGCAUUAUUUUUUUGCCGCUACUUGCUGCAGCUCUUGUUGGCAUAUCACGGGUCGAUGACUACUGGCAUCAUUGGCAGGGUGUGUUUGUUGGAGCUAUUUUAGGUCAGUUUUUGUGUGUGAUCACUAAUAGAGAAAGCUAGAUGCAGUUUUUCCCACCCCCAUAUAGUGAAGAAGGGUGGGGGCCUUAUGCGUAUUUUCAGGCACUUGAGGAGUCACAUUCUAAUACAAAUGCAGGGCAGGCUGCAAAUGCACUCAAUAUGCAGGCCAUGGAUGUAGAAGUCGUGAGUUUACAACUCCGGCAAAACGGCAAUGAAUUUACAUCGUUGGAUGAAUUGGAAUCUGGAAGGAGGUGAACGUGUGUAUCUUGUGCUUUGAACAUACGCAUAAGGCCCCCACCCUUCUUCAC
rnacentral:misc_RNA from 1 species